rfam:Schistosoma curassoni strain Dakar, Senegal genome assembly, scaffold: SCTD_scaffold0000361
AGCAUUCUGAAUCCGUGUCGAAAAUUCGUCAGAUGCCAUACCAUCAGUACUGAUGAAACUCCCAAGAUAAGUGAAGGA